rnacentral:rRNA from 1 species
GACGAACGCUGGCGGCGUGCCUAAUACAUGCAAGUCGAACGCUUCUUUCCUCCCGAGUGCUUGCACUCAAUUGGAAAGAGGAGUGGCGGACGGGUGAGUAACACGUGGGUAACCUACCCAUCAGAGGGGGAUAACACUUGGAAACAGGUGCUAAUACCGCAUAACAGUUUAUGCCGCAUGGCAUAAGAGUGGAAGGCGCUUUCGGGUGUCGCUGAUGGAUGGACCCGCGGUGCAUUAGCUAGUUGGUGAGGUAACGGCUCACCAAGGCCACGAUGCAUAGCCGACCUGAGAGGGUGAUCGGCCACCCUGGGACUGAGACACGGCCCAGACUCCUACGGGAGGCAGCAGUAGGGAAUCUUCGGCAAUGGACGAAAGUCUGACCGAGCAACGCCGCGUGAGUGAAGAAGGUUUUCGGAUCGUAAAACUCUGUUGUUAGAGAAGAACAAGGACGUUAGUAACUGAACGUCCCCUGACGGUAUCUAACCAGAAAGCCACGGCUAACUACGU